ACACACACACACACGUACAUACAUACAUACAUACAUACAUACGUACAUACAUACAGUAUAUUCAUAUAUAGUUUCUGCUCCUUUCUGCCUUUUUUUCUUAUUUUUCUUUAUAUUUUUUCCUUCUUUUUAUCUUUUUGCCGCCUUCCCCUCGUCGCCUCAUGUCUCGCACUAACUGUUGUGCCGAGGACGCUCCAUAAAUAACAAGGUGACUCCCUCGUCCCUAUUUGCAGGUGGUGAGUGGGGUGGCAGCGGUCGGGGCGCCAUCAGCCAUGCAGGUCCGGGGUGGGAGUGACUGCUCGUCCAGGAGGGAGGGACGAGGGAGGAAAGGGAGACGCUGGAGGGAGAGAAACGAGCUGUGGCCAAGAUCCCGCGGCUCCCUCCCUGCACUUGACUGUCACUGAAAGAGAUGGUUCUACGCCCUCCCGCUCACCCUGACACUCAUUCAACCACGCAAGCACCAAGACGUGGGCGAUGAGCUCUUUAACAUAGAGUAAAUGUAAACGAGAAAUCUCCUGUUCCUUUGCUGCCCUACCUGAGAGCGACCGAAGGUAAAAAUAAUGGUUUAGUUUUAGAUGUGAG